UGCAAGUAGAACGGUAACAGUCCUUCGGGAGCUGACGAGUUGCGAACGGGUGCGUAACGCGUAUGCAACCUACCUAUAACUGAGGGAUAGCCCAUAGAAAUGUGGAUUAAUACCUCAUAACAACUAAAGAUGGCAUCAUCUUAAGUUUAAAACUCCGGUGGUUAUAGAUGGGCAUGCGUGACAUUAGCUAGUUGGUGAGGUAACUGCUCACCAAGGCAACSAUKUCUARGGGUUCUGAGAGGAUGAUCCCCCUCACUGGUACUGAGACACGGACCAGACUCCUACGGGAGGCAGCAGUGAGGAAUAUUGCGCAAUGGAGGAAACUCUGACGCAGCCAUGCCGCGUGCAGGAUGACUGCCCUAUGGGUUGUAAACUGCUUUUAUAUAGGAAGAACUACAGAUACGUGUAUUUGUUUGACAGUACUAUACGAAUAAGGACCGGCUAACUCCGUGCCAGCAGCCGCGGUAAUACGGAGGGUCCAAGCGUUAUCCGGAUUUAUUGGGUUUAAAGGGUCCGUAGGCGGGUCAUUAAGUCAGUGGUGAAAUCCUASAGCUCAACUGUAGAACUGCCAUUGAAACUGGUGACCUUUGAAUAUAAUUGAAGUAGGCGGAAUGUGUCAUGUAGCGGUGAAAUGCUUAGAUAUGCCACAGAACACCGAUUGCGAAGGCAGCUUACUAAGUUAUUAUUGACGCUGAGGGACGAAAGCGUGGGUAGCGAACAGGAUUAGAUACCCUGGUAGUCCACGCCGUAAACGAUGUAUACUCGUUGCUAGCGAUACACAGUUAGUGACCAAGCGAAAGUAUUAAGUAUACCACUGG
rnacentral:rRNA from 1 species